UUAAGCUACUAAGAGCACACGGAGGAUGCCUAGGCGCUAGGAGCCGAAGAAGGACGUGGCGAACAACGAAACUGCCUCGGGGAGCUGUAAGCAAGCAUCGAUCCGGGGGUGUCCGAAUGGGGAAACCCGGCUAGGUUAAUACCUAGUCACUCACUGCUGAAUACAUAGGCAGUGAAGAGGCAGACCAGGGGAACUGAAACAUCUAAGUACCCUGAGGAAGAGAAAACAAAAGUGAUUCCGUCAGUAGCGGCGAGCGAACGCGGAGAAGCCUAAACCAAGGAGCUUGCUCCUUGGGGUUGUGGGACGUCUCACACGGAGUUAUAAAGGAGCAUGUUAGACGAAGAGGUCUGGAAAGGCCCGCCAAAGAAGGUAAAAGCCCUGUAAUCGAAAGUGUGCUCUCUCCGAGACGGAUCCCGAGUAGUGCGGGGCACGUGAAACCCCGUAUGAAUCCGCCAGGACCAUCUGGUAAGGCUAAAUACUUCCUAGCGACCGAUAGUGAAACAGUACCGUGAGGGAAAGGUGAAAAGCACCCCGGAAGGGGAGUGAAAUAGAUCCUGAAACCGUGUGCUUACAAGAAGUCAGAGCUCUAUUAAUGAGUGAUGGCGUGCCUUUUGUAGAAUGAACCGGCGAGUUACGUUUGCAAGCAAGGUUAAGGUGAGAAGCCGGAGCCGUAGCGAAAGCGAGUCUGAAUAGGGCGUUUUAGUUUGUAGGCGUAGACCCGAAACCGUGUGAUCUACCCCUGUCCAGGGUGAAGGUGCGGUAACACGCACUGGAGGCCCGAACCCACGUAUGUUGAAAAAUGCGGGGAUGAGGUGGGGGUAGCGGAGAAAUUCCAAUCGAACUCGGAGAUAGCUGGUUCUCCCCGAAAUAGCUUUAGGGCUAGCCUCGGUGGAAUAGUCGUGGAGGUAGAGCACUGAUUGGGUGCGGGGCCCGCCAAGGGUUACCAAGCUCAGUCAAACUCCGAAUGCCAUAGACUACUAACCGGGAGUCAGACAGUGAGUGCUAAGAUCCAUUGUCAAAAGGGAAACAGCCCAGACCAUCAGCUAAGGUCCCCAAGUGUGUGUUAAGUGGGAAAGGAUGUGGAGUUGCACAGACAACCAGGAUGUUGGCUUAGAAGCAGCCACCAUUGAAAGAGUGCGUAAUAGCUCACUGGUCGAGUGACUCUGCGCCGAAAAUGUAACGGGGCUAAACACACCACCGAAGCUAUGGCUUGAUACUUAAAAGUAUCAGGGGUAGGGGAGCGUUGUAUAUGCGUUGAAGGUGUACCGUAAGGAGCGCUGGAGAGUAUACAAGUGAGAAUGCCGGUAUGAGUAACGAAAAGAUCAGUGAGAAUCUGAUCCGCCGAAAGCCCAAGGUNGGGGUAGGGGAGCGUUGUAUAUGCGUAGAAGGUGUACCGUAAGGAGCGCUGGAGAGUAUACAAGUGAGAAUGCCGGUAUGAGUAACGAAAAGAUCAGUGAGAAUCUGAUCCGCCGAAAGCCCAAGGUUUCCUGAGGAAGGCUCGUCCGCUCAGGGUAAGUCGGGACCUAAGGCGAGGCCGAAAGGCGUAGUCGAAGGACAACAGGUGGAAAUUCCUGUACCACCGUAAUCCGUUAUGAGUGAUGGGGUGACGCAGUAGGGUAGUGACGCAGGCUGAUGGAUGCCUGUCCAAGCAGUGAGGCUGGUGUGUAGGCAAAUCCGCACACCGUAAGGCUGGGCUGUGAUGGGGAGUGAAAAUUACAGUAGCGAAGGUCAUGAUCUCAGACUGCCAAGAAAAGCCUCUAACCAGGAGAAGGUGCCCGUACCGCAAACCGACACAGGUAGGCGAGAAGAGAAUUCUAAGGCGCGCGGAAGAACUCUCGUUAAGGAACUCGGCAAAAUGACCCCGUAACUUCGGGAGAAGGGGUGCCCCGGUAGUGUGAAUAGCACGAGGGGGCCGCAGUGAAAAGGCCCAAGCGACUGUUUAGCAAAAACACAGGUCUGUGCGAAGCCGCAAGGCGAAGUAUACGGGCUGACGCCUGCCCGGUGCUGGAAGGUUAAGGGGAGCGGUUAGGAGCAAUCCGAAGCUGUGAACCGAAGCCCCAGUAAACGGCGGCCGUAACUAUAACGGUCCUAAGGUAGCGAAAUUCCUUGUCAGGUAAAUUCUGACCCGCACGAAUGGCGUAACGACUUGGGCGCUGUCUCAACGAGAGAUCCGGUGAAAUUUUAAUACCUGUGAAGAUGCAGGUUACCCGCGACAAGACGGAAAGACCCCAUGGAGCUUUACUGCAGCUUGAUAUUGGACUUUGAUACGAUUUGUACAGGAUAGGUGGGAGCCUAGGAAGAGGGAGCGCAAGCUUCCUUGGAGGCGCCGUUGGGAUACCACCCUGAUCGUAUCGGAGUUCUAACCUGGUACCGUGAACCGGUAUGGGGACAGUGUCAGGUGGGCAGUUUGACUGGGGCGGUCGCCUCCUAAAGAGUAACGGAGGCGCCCCAAGGUUCCCUCAGAAUGGUUGGAAAUCAUUCGCAGAGUGCAAAGGCAAAAGGGAGCUUGACUGCGAGACUGACAAGUCGAGCAGGGAGGAAACUCGGGCUUAGUGAUCCGGUGGUACCGCAUGGAAGGGCCAUCGCUCAACGGAUAAAAGCUACCCUGGGGAUAACAGGCUUAUCUCCCCCAAGAGUCCACAUCGACGGGGAGGUUUGGCACCUCGAUGUCGGCUCAUCGCAUCCUGGGGCUGAAGUAGGUCCCAAGGGUUGGGCUGUUCGCCCAUUAAAGCGGUACGCGAGCUGGGUUCAGAACGUCGUGAGACAGUUCGGUCCCUAUCUGUCGUGGGCGUAGGAAAUUUGAGAGGAGCUGUCCUUAGUACGAGAGGACCGGGAUGGACGCACCGCUGGUGUACCAGUUGUUCCGCCAGGAGCAUAGCUGGGUAGCUAAGUGCGGAAGGGAUAAGCGCUGAAAGCAUCUAAGCGUGAAGCCCCCCUCAAGAUGAGAUUUCCCAAUUAGUAAGACCCCUUGAAGACGACGAGGUUGAUAGGCCUGAGGUGGAAGUGCAGCAAUGUAUGGAGCUGACAGGUACUAAUCGGUCGAGGGCUUAUCCAA
rnacentral:rRNA from 1 species